rnacentral:rRNA from 1 species
AAAAUCCGGUAACCAUAAGGCUAGAGCGUGAUAGGUUAGCGAAAUCUUAGGAGAGUAGCGAAGCACAUGAUGACGGCUUCCAGGAAAAGCUUCUGGCAAUGCAUAUGCGGCCCGUACCAAAACCGACACAGGUGGGCAGGGAGAGAAUCCCGAGGUGAGCGAGAGAACUGUUGCCAAGGAACUCGGCAAAAUGACUCCGUAAGUUAGCGAGAAGGAGUGCUUAAGCAAUUAAGCCGCAGUGAAGAGGCCCAAGCGACUGUUUAACUAAAACACAGCUCUCUGCGAAGUCGCAAGACGAAGUAUAGGGGGUGACACCUGCCCGGUGCUGGAAGGUUAAGAGGAUCUGUUAAGAGCGAUCUGAAGCAGUGAUCCGAAGCCCCAGUGAACGGCGGCCGUAACUAUAACGGUCCUAAGGUAGCGAAAUUCCUUGUCAGGUAAGUUCUGACCCGCACGAAAGGUGUAACGAUUUGGGCGCUGUCUCGGCAGCAGACUCGGUGAAAUCUUAGUACCUGUGAAAAUGCAGGUUACCCGCAACUAGACGGAAAGACCCCAUGGAGCUUUACUGCAGCCUGAUAUUGAAUUCUGGUCAUACAUGUACAGGAUAGGUGGGAGACAAAGAGACGUGCACGCCAGUGUACGAGGAGUCGACGUUGGGAUACCACUCUUGUGUGACCGGGGUUCUAACCUGGUAUCGAGAACAGGUACGGGGAGAGUGUCAGGUGGGCAGUUUGACUGGGGCGGUCGCCUCCCAAAGAGUAACGGAGGCGCCCAAAGGUACGCUCAGAUUGGAUGGAAACCAAUCGUCGAGUGCAAUUGCAGAAGCGUGCUUGACUGUGAGACUUACAAGUCGAACAGGGACGAAAGUCGGGAAUAGUGAUCCGGCGGUGCCGAAUGGAAGGGCCGUCGCUCAACGGAUAAAAGCUACCCUGGGGAUAACAGGCUGAUCUCGCCCAAGAGUUCACAUCGACGGCGAGGUUUGGCACCUCGAUGUCGGCUCAUCGCAUCCUGGAGCUGGAUUCGGUUCCAAGGGUUGGGCUGUCCGCCCAUUAAAGCGGCACGCGAGCUGGGUUCAGAACGUCGUGAGACAGUUCGGUCCCUAUCUGUUGUGGGCGAAGGAGAUCUGCGGAGAGCUGUCCUCAGUACGAGAGGACCGGGAUGGACCUACCGCUGGUGCACCGGUUGUUCCGCCAGGGGCAUAGCCGGGUAGCUAAGUAGGGAAAGGAUAAGCGCUGAAAGCAUCUAAGCACGAAGCCUACUCCAAGAUGAGAUCUCCCAUUCGCAAGAAGUAAGACCCCUUAAAGACGAUAAGGUAGAUAGGCCAGAGAUGGAAGUGCAGUGAUGUACGGAGUUGACUGGUACUAAUCGGUCGAGGACUUAAUCGA